CGAGAGUUUGAUCCUGGCUACAGGACGAACGCUGGCGGCAUGCUUAACACAUGCAAGUCGAACGGAGCACCCCUGAACGAGGUUUUCGGCCGAAGUGACGGGAAUGCUUAGUGGCGGACGGGUGAGUAACGCGUGAGCAACCUGCCUUGAAGUGGGGGACGAACAGUUGGAAACGACUGCUAAUACCGCAUAAUAUAUCUGAGUCGCAUGGCUUGGAUAUCAAAGAUUUAUCGCUUCAAGAUGGGCUCGCGUCUGAUUAGGUAGUUGGCGGGGUAACGGCCCACCAAGCCGACGAUCAGUAGCCGGACUGAGAGGUUGAACGGCCACAUUGGGACUGAGAUACGGCCCAGACUCCUGCGGGAGGCAGCAGUGGGGAAUAUUGGGCAAUGGGCGCAAGCCUGACCCAGCAAUGCCGCGUGAAGGAAGAAGGCUUUCGGGUUGUAAACUUCUUUGACAGGGGAAGAGCAGAAGACGGUACCCUGAAAACAAGCCACGGCUAACUACGUG
rnacentral:rRNA from 1 species